GACGAACGCUGGCGGCGUGCUUAACACAUGCAAGUCGAACGGAAAGGCCCUGCUUUUGUGGGGUGCUCGAGUGGCGAACGGGUGAGUAACACGUGAGUAACCUGCCCUUGACUUUGGGAUAACUUCAGGAAACUGGGGCUAAUACCGGAUAGGAGCUCCUGCUGCAUGGUGGGGGUUGGAAAGUUUCGGCGGUUGGGGAUGGACUCGCGGCUUAUCAGCUUGUUGGUGGGGUAGUGGCUUACCAAGGCUUUGACGGGUAGCCGGCCUGAGAGGGUGACCGGCCACAGUGGGACUGAGAUACGGCCCAGACUCCUACGGGAGGCAGCAGUGGGGAAUAUUGCACAAUGGGCGGAAGCCGGAUGCAGCAACGCCGCGUGCGGGAGGACGGCCUUCGGGUGGUAAACCGCUUUCGCCUGUGACGAAGCGUGAGUGACGGUAAUGGGUAAAGAAGCACCGGCGAACUACGU
rnacentral:rRNA from 1 species